GAUCUCCUACUCCAACUACUACUGCUACCAAAUACUUCUCUCUGCUGCUUCUUCUUCCCCUGCGCCUCCAUGGUGCUCCUGCACGCGCCGCACCUCACCUGAAUACACUCUCUCCCUCCCUCUCUCUCUCUCUCUCUCUCUCUCUCUCUCUCUCUUUGUGCUUCCAACGCUGCAAUGGCUGUUCACCCUUUUGCUAACUCGCUCUCUGUGACUCGCUGGCUCAUUGAGUUCGUGCUAAUCGCCUCGGCUUUGGCUGCUCUGCCUCUCGUUAG
rnacentral:lncRNA from 1 species